AUCUCAAAUUAAUUCAAGAUAAGAAUUUUCUGAUUAGAUGAACUCACAAGUGUAGGUAGUGUGCUACACGAGGGGCAAGUCUUUUCGCUAACACCACAAGAGUCUCUGGCCCAAUGAGUGGAGUUUGAUAGUAAUUCUUGCUAUAAGU